UCAAUAAUCAUGAUAUGCUCCAUCUGCUGACACCCCAGCAUCACAACGGUAGGGAGCUGUAUUGCCGGAGGCACUAUCCUUUAACAACUGAACGGUUGAACAGCUGGUAAAUCGUCGAAGGACACCUUUCAUAGAAGAGCAGGGUUAUUGGCCCUGCUUUCCUCAUCAGACUGGUCUCAAAUCAUAUAGCAAAGACAGAGAAGACAGAUAAAGGAUGACACGUUAAAGGAACAGACUGGGUGAGAAGUUUCAUUAUCCCUAUGCCAAAGAUAUACACAAACAAAAUAAAACCCUGCUAAAUUAAUGCAUGCUGAAAGAGCAGGCUAAUUGGAAAUAAAAGCUACUUCUAGACCACCAAGUGUUUAGAUUCAGUAGACUGCUAACCUAUUUAAGGAUUCAGUGAAGACACUCCCUAUAUGCCAAUAAUUCUCACUGCUGUCGUUCAUAAAAGCGACACUGCCUUCUGAACUGAGUACCAGGUAAAAGAGGAACAGGCCUUGUAAGGAUGCCAUUCUUCAGCACAAGAGUGCUGAAUGCCUUCUGCGAUGUUGCUGUGCACCAUUGUGAUGACAGUUCUCCGCAAUUUGCAGGAUCAAGCCUUUAUAUAUUUUUUGGUCACGCAGUGAGGAUUUAGAUUGCUCUUCGCCGCACAAAGAUGGCAGCGGGGCCCAUUAGAUGGCAAACGCAGAAGCCCAGAUGAUAUAGCUACGUUUGGACCUGAUCGUCUUUAAGAGGCCCAGUAUUCCAAAGGAACUGAGAGGCACAGCAUGCAGGUGCCAACAAUCCAACCAAGUUCAUGUAACAUAGUCAAAGUAAGAAAUACACUUACAGGAGAAAAUGCCUUUGACUGAAAAUGCCAAAAUGGGGAUCCUGUGUCUAGUCAGAUCAAAGGAGGCACUCUCGAUGAUGGAAUGCAUCCCUAUAUUCACACCCUACACACUACUGUAAUAAUCUUUGUACAAGGCAUGCCUUGUGAGGUACCAUUUGAAAACUCAUAACUUGCUGAUCAGUAAUAUUAUAGUAAAAUGUAUGUAGCAACAUUAUGUGUAAAGUUAUGAACAUAAGUUGAAAUCAUGACUGAAGUGUGUUUCCCAGAUAAGUCUGGGGAGGGGCUAAACCACUUUCUCAAAGACAAAGGGCAAGCUGAUGCCCCAGCCAGCUGUCAAUAAAGCUGAUGAGCCAUCACCUAUCAAGUGGCCAUUCUUUGGCAAGAAAGAACUGCAUGGCAGGGACAAAGAGAUCUGCAUCUUAGCAAAGGAACAGUAUGUGAGGUCUUCUUCCUCCACCAGACCCCCUGUCUCUUGGUUCUCAGCUGGAAAUGCUUUUCAAAGAGGGACUGAUACUAUAAAAAGGAGGGGCAAACACCCCAAGGCACCCCUUCUCUCUCUCCCUGCCCAUCUCACUCUUUGCACCUGGGAAGACAAAAGAAGCAGCCGUGAGGGUUCCUGACCUGAAGAAUUUGGUCAGCGAUGCUGUUGGAAGCAUGUGGCAAGAAGCUUUGCUUUGAAUCUAAUAUAGGCUGUUAAGCUAGACACUAGAAAGUGUUUUAUCCUUAUUUUAACCAUUUCUGACUCUUAUGCCUCAUUGCUUGUACUCACUUAAAAUCUGUAGCUAAUAAACUUGUUUUUAUCUAA